UACGAAGGGGGCUAGCGUUGUUCGGAAUUACUGGGCGUAAAGCGCGCGCAGGCGGCCAUUCAAGUCAGGGGUGAAAGCCCAGAGCUCAACUCUGGAACUGCCCUUGAAACUGUAUGGCUUGAGUAUGAGAGAGGUGAGUGGAAUUCCCCAGUGUAGAGGUGAAAUUCGUAGAUAUUGGGAAGAACACCGGUGGCGAAGGCGGCUCACUGGCUCAUUACUGACGCUCAGGCGCGACAGCGUGGGGGAUCAAACAGG
rnacentral:rRNA from 1 species